UGGCAGCCCGCGGGCCCGGUCCCCCGGCUCAGGCGCUGACUGAGCUGCCGACGCAGCGAGACGCUGUACACCGCUCCGUCCUCGGUCUCCUCGCCCCAGUCCUGCAGCGGCGCCUGGACGCGGAGACCGGCUCAGGGCGCCGCGGGGGGACGGGCCCCGGGCCCUCGCCCCCACCCGUCCCGCGCGGACUCAAGAGGGCCUUCUAGCACCACCUCCCUCCCCGAUCAGACCCAGCGAGACUCGGGGGCUGGGGCCGAUCCCCUCGCCGCCGCGGGCACCCUACACCCCGGUCCUGAGAGGAUGGAGUGGCAUCUGGGGACGUCCCAGGGUCCGGGCUCACGGAACCUGUCUCUGUCCCUGUAGACGAGCUCAGAGACACCCCCCAUCCUUCAGAGGGUCUCAGCAGCAUCUGACCAAGCUGAUCCCCUGCAGAUCGUCAUCUUCCAGGAUGCCAGUUUUCCACCCUGGCUGUCCCUUGUCCAUUUCCUUGGCCCCCAGGAGGGACGGCCCCAGGCUCUUCUCACUUCUGUUCAUACCCACCACCUUGAUGGACCUAUCCAGGCUCAUGGUUGGACCACAGGCUGAAGACAUCCAGAUUUAACCCCCAGCUCUGCCCCACUCCCAGAACUAGAGGGUCAUAUACCCGUAUCAAUCUACACUGCCUUCCAGGUGUCUCCACAGGUAUGGCUUCUCUGACCUCCACUCCCGAAUCACGGUCUGGACCACUUUCUCAUCUCCCUGCAAGGACAGGAGCCCAGUCACCGCUCACCCAGACCACUCCCACUUGAGGCAGCACCCUGCCCUUGGGGAUGCUGCCCUGCUUCCUGGAAACCCUUCACCCACUUCUGCACCCUCACCUGGAGCAGGUCUGUCAGCUGUACUUGCAACACCCUGGUCUCCUCACGAAGACGGUUGAUGGUCUCCUGAUUCUUCUUGAUGUUCCACUGGCUGUUCUCAUAAAAGGCCUUCCGGUCACCCUCUGAGGUCAUGUAAGGUACACAAGCAGGGUGUUGGGGUCUUCCCAGAGGGAAGCUAUUUUUGUUAUCAUUAACUUAAUAUUAUAACAAUACACUAGUUUGAGCACUUA